rnacentral:lncRNA from 10 species
GAAAGCUUCAACACUGUUAGUUGAGGGCGCACAUCACAAAUAAGAUUCUGAGAAUGCUUCUGUCUAGUUUUCAGGGGAAGAUAUUUCCUUUUUCACCAUAGGCCUGAAAGCGCUCCAAAUGUCCACAUCCAGAUACUACAAAAAGAAUGUUUCAAACCUGUUCUAUGAAAGGGAAUGUUCAACUCUGUGACUUGAAUGCAAACAUCACAAAGAAGUUACUGGGAAUGCUGCUGUCUGCUUUUUAUAUGUAAUCCCGUUUCCAACGAAAUCCUCAAAGCUAGACAAAUAUCCACUUGCAGAUUCCACAAAAAGAGGGUUUCAAAACUGCUCUCUCAAAAGAAAGGUUCAACUCUGUUAGCUGAGUAGAUACAUCAUGAAAAAGUUUCUGACAUUGCUUCUAUCUAGCUUUUAUUGGAAGAUAUUUCCUUUUUCACAGUAGUCCUGAGAGCGCUCCAAAUGUCCACUUCCAGAUACUACAAAAAGAGUGUUUCAAACCUGCUCUAUGAAAGGG